rnacentral:rRNA from 1 species
AUUGAACGCUGGCGGCAUGCCUAACACAUGCAAGUCGAACGAUGAUUCAGAGCUUGCUCUUAUGAUUAGUGGCGGACGGGUGAGUAAUGUAUAGGGAUCUGCCUGUUAGUGGGGGACAACAGCCGGAAACGGCUGCUAAUACCGCAUACGCUCUACGGAGGAAAGUGGGGGACCCUCGGGCCUCACGCUAACAGAUGAACCUAUAUUGGAUUAGCUAGUUGGUAGGGUAAAGGCCUACCAAGGCGACGAUCCAUAGCUGGUUUGAGAGAAUGAUCAGCCACACUGGGACUGAGACACGGCCCAGACUCCUACGGGAGGCAGCAGUGGGGAAUAUUGGACAAAGGGCGCAAGCCUGAUCCAGCAAUGCCGCGUGUGUGAAGAAGGCCUUCGGGUUGUAAAGCACUUUAAGUUGGGAGGAAAAGCUGAGGGUUAAUAGCCUUUAGUGUUGACGUUACCAACAGAAUAAGCACCGGCUAACUCCGUG